AAUCAACGCUGGCGGCGUGCCUCAGACAUGCAAGUCGAACGAUUAAAGCUCUCUUCGGAGAGUGUAUAGAGUGGCGCACGGGUGAGUAACACGUAAGUAAUCUACCCUCGAGUGGGGAAUAACAACCGGAAACGGUUGCUAAUACCGCAUAAUGCAGCGGCACCGCAAGGUGACAGUUGUUAAAGAUUUAUCGCUUGAGGAGGAGCUUGCGGCAGAUUAGCUAGUUGGUAGGGUAACGGCUUACCAAGGCUACGAUCUGUAACCGGUCUAAGAGGACGGUCGGUCACACUGACACUGAAUAACGGGUCAGACUCCUACGGGAGGCAGCAGUCGGGAAUUUUGGGCAAUGGGCGAAAGCCUGACCCAGCAACGCCGCGUGAAGGAUGAAGUAUUUCGGUAUGUAAACUUCGAAAGAAUAGGAAGAAUUAAUGACGGUUACUAUUUAUAAGGUCCGGCUAACUACGUGCCAGCAGCCGCGGAAU
rnacentral:rRNA from 1 species